UUGGGUUGUAAAGCUCUUUCGUCGGGGAAGAAAAUGACUGUACCCGAAUAAGAAGGUCCGGCUAACUUCGUGCCAGCAGCCGCGGUAAUACGAAGGGACCUAGCGUAGUUCGGAAUUACUGGGCUUAAAGAGUUCGUAGGUUGUUAAAAAAGUUGGUGGUGAAAUCCCAGAGCUUAACUCUGGAACUGCCAUCAAAACUUUUUAGCUAGAGUAUGAUAGAGGAAAGCAGAAUUUCUAGUGUAGAGGUGAAAUUCGUAGAUAUUAGAAAGAAUACCAAUUGCGAAGGCAGCUUUCUGGAUCAUUACUGACACUGAGGAACGAAAGCAUGGGUAGCGAAGAGGAUUAGAUACCCUCGUAGUCCAUGCCGUAAACGAUGUGUGUUAGACGUUGGAAAUUUAUUUUCAGUGUCGCAGCGAAAGCAUUAAACACACCGCCUGGGGAGUACGACCGCAAGGUUAAAACUCAAAUGAAUUGACGGGGACCCGCACAAGUAGUGGAGCAUGUGGUUUAAUUCGAAGAUACGCGCAGAACCUUACCAACACUUGACAUGUUCGUCGCGACUUUAAGAGAUUAAAGUUUUCGGUUCGGCCGGACGAAACACAGGUGCUGCAUGGCUGUCGUCAGCUCGUGUCGUGAGAUGUUGGGUUAAGUCCCGCAACGAGCGCAACCCUCACUUUUAGUUGCCAUCAUUUAGUUGGGCACUCUGAAAGAACUGCCAGUGAUAAGCUGGAGGAAGGUGGGGAUGACGUCAAGUCCUCAUGGCCCUUACGUGUUGGGCUACACACGUGCUACAAUGGCAUUUACAAUAGGAAGCAAGAUGGCGACGUCAAGCAAAUCCUAAAAAGAUGCCUCAGUUCGGAUUGUACUCUGCAACUCGAGUACAUGAAGCUGGAAUUACUAGUAAUCGCGGAUCAGCGCGCCGCGGUGAAUACGUUUCCCGGGUCUUGUACACACCGCCCGUCACACCA
rnacentral:rRNA from 1 species